GUAAGGUCAAGUGAAGAAGGGCGUAGGGUGGAUGCCUAGGCAGUCAGAGGCGAUGAAGGACGUGGACAGCUGCGAUAAGCUCCGGGGAGCCGCUAACAGGCAAUAAUCCGGAGAUUUCCGAAUGGGGAAACCCUCAGAGCGUAAGCUCUAAACCGCGCGUGAAUACAUAGCGCUCGGUGGCCAACUCGGGGAACUGAAACAUCUAAGUACCCGAAGGAAAAGAAAGAAACCUCGAUUCCCAUAGUAGCGGCGAGCGAAGUGGGAUCAGCCUAAACCUUAGGACGUAAGUCUUAAGGGGUCGUGGGGCUCGCGAUAUCGCCAAGAAUGGUUAGUUGAACGGCAUGGAAAGGCCGGCCAGAGACGGUGACAGCCCGGUAGACGAAAGCGAUUCGACGCGUAGCGAGUACCCGAGUACCGCAAGACACGAGCAAUCUGGCGGGAAUCUGCGGGGACCAUCCCGUAAGGCUAAAUACUCCUGACUGACCGAUAGUGAACAAGUACCGCGAGGGAAAGGUGAAAAGCACCCCGGUAAGGGGAGUGAAAGAGUACCUGAAACCGUACGCCUACAAGCAGUGGGAGCACUAUGCCCGCAAGGGAAUGUGUGACCG
rnacentral:rRNA from 1 species